GACGAACGCUGGCGGCGUGCCUAAUACAUGCAAGUAGGACGCAGUUGCGAACGGGUGAGUAACGCGUAGGUAACUACCUAUUAGAGGGGGAUAACUAUUGGAAACGAUAGCUAAUACCGCAUACUAGUAGAUGGACCUGCGUUGUAUUAGCUAGUAGGUAGGGUAAUGGCCUACCUAGGCAACGAAACAUAGCCGACUGGGGAGGGUGAUCGGGCAAACCGGGACUGGAAAAAGGCUCAGGCGCCUACGGGAGGGAGCAGUAGGGAAUCUUCGGCAAUGGGGGGAACGCUGACCGAGCAACUCCGCGGGAGUGAAGAAGGUUUUCGGAUCGUAAAGCGCUGUUGUGAAGGAAGCGGUACUUAACCAGAAAGGGACGGCUAACUACGUGCCAGCAGCCGCGGUAAUUC
rnacentral:rRNA from 1 species